CUUUAGCAUUCGGUGGAUGCGGCUGCCAAAGGUGUUGGGGUCAUCGAGGCUGAAGCCAGAGGUGAGGAGCGCAGUAUCAAACAGCAGCAUGACAAGGUCCUUAACAGACUUGUCGUUCUUGUCAGCCUCAGCACGCUUGCGGAGCUCAUCCAUGAUGGCGUUCUCAGGGUUGAUCUCCAUGGUCUUCUUGGAGGACAUGUAUCCGGACAUGCUGGAGUCCUUCAGCGCCUGGGCCUUCAUGAUCCUCUCCAUGUUGGCGGUCCAGCCAUACUCACCAGUGACCAGGCAGCACGGGGAGUCCACCACACGGUCAGAGACCACCACCUUCUCAACCUUGUCACCCAGAACCUCCUUAAUCACCUUGCAGAGGCCCUCAAACUUCUCCUUGAGCUCCUCCUGUCUCUUCUUCUCGUCCUCAGUCUCAUCCAGCUUCAGGCCCUCCUUAGUGGCAGAGACGAGUUUCUUGCCCUCAAAUUCCUUCAGCUGGCCAAUGGCAUACUCAUCAAUUGCAUCAACCAUGUACAGGACUUCAUAGCCCUUCUUCUUCAGCUUCUCAAGGAAGGGGGAGUUCUCCACAGCCUUCUUGCUCUCACCAGUGAUGUAGUAGAUGUCGCUCUGGCCCUCCUUCAUCCUUGUCACAUAGUCCUUGAGGCUAGUCAGCUCAUCACCGCUCUUGGUGGAGUGGUACCUCAGGAGCUCAGCGAUCUUGGUCCUGUUCUGGGAGUCCUCGUGGAUGCCAAGCUUGAGGUUCUUGCAGAAGGCCUCGUAGAACUUGUUGUAGUCCUCCUUGUUCUCGGCAAUCUCGAAGAAGAGCUCAAUGCACUUCUUCACCAGGUUCUUGCGGAUGACCUUGAGGAUCUUGUUCUGCUGGAGGGUCUCACGGGAGAUGUUGAGGGGAAGGUCCUCAGAGUCAACGAUGCCCUUGACAAAGCUCAGCCACUCUGGGAUCAGCUCCUCACAGUUGUCCAUGAUGAAGACACGGCGCACAUAGAGCUUGAUGUUGUUCUGCUUCUUCCUGGUGUCGAAGAGGUCGAAGGGGGCCCUCUUGGGUACAAAGAGGACAGCCUUGAACUCAAGCUGACCCUCAACAGAGAAGUGCUUCACGGCAAGAUGCUCCUCCCAGUCGUUGGUCAAGCUCUUGUAGAAAGCAGCGUACUCUUCCUUGGUGAUCUCCUCAGGCUUCCUCAUCCAGAUAGGUUUCUGCUUGUUGACCAAUUGCCACUCGUGAGAAACCUCCUUGAUCUUCUUCUUUUUCUUCUCUUUCUCUUCCUUCUCCUCAUCAACAUCCUCAACCUUGCCCUCCUCAUCCUUCUUAUCUUCCUCAUCCUCAUCAUCAGAAAUCUCCUUCUCAGUGGUCUUCUCAGUCCAGAGAGAGAUGGGGUAGCUGAUGAACUCAGAGUGCUUCUUGAUCAGAUCCUUGAGGCGUCGCUCCUCAAGGUACUCCAACUGCAGAAAAUAGAAGAAAAUUAUAAGAGAGUGUUCAAACUGAUGGAAUUACUCUCAGAUAUUCAAACGUCAAAAACUCAAAUAUUCAGUAGAACAGUAAAUUUAAGACAGUUAAUGAUUAUCACUGUACAUCAACUUGUUGAUAUAAUCCCAAAAUAAUGUCAUAACUAGACACACAUGCAAAACAAAAUUUCAGUUUCUCUAUAAUUAUAGUAUCUGAAGAGCAAAGUUAUUCCAAAAAAAGACUACGAUUAGAUAAAUAGCAUGCUACAUUGUUCUUACCAAUCAGGGAAAUGCGUUAUCUAACAGCAAUAUCCCAAAUGAUCCUCUAAGAGUGAAUCUAAUGUAAUCCACAUUUACAGUUAGUUAUAACAAACCAAACAUAUUGGAGCUAUAUAUGCUUUCAAUUCAGCUUCCCAACAGAUCAGCACCACAAACUAACAUAGCAUAAUGGAACCGUGUGAUUUCAACAAAGGUACGACCAAAAAGCAUCAGCUGUAUCUAAAUAAUCCUAUAAAACAGUAAAUAACUAUGGCAGCAUCACCAAUAGUAAUUAACACACCACAGGCACUAAUCCGGGAAGUUUCUGCUAUACCUGAUCAUCCUUGAGGUAGAGGAUCAUCUUGGUACCCCUGCCAAGGGUCUCCCCAGAGGUAUCACGUGUGACGGUGAAGGAUCCACCAGCCUGAGACUCCCACACGUACUGCUCAUCGUCGUUGUGCUUGGUGGUCACAACAACUCUCUCAGCAACAAGGUAGGCAGAGUAGAAACCAACUCCAAACUGACCGAUCAUAGACACAUCAGCACCAGCAGCCAGAGCCUCCAUGAACUCCUUUGUUCCUGACCGUGCAAUGGUACCAAGGUUGUUCACGAGAUCUGACUUGGUCAUACCAAUACCACUGUCAAUGAUUGUCAGAGUGUUGGAGGCCUUGUCAGGAACAAUGUGGAUGAACAGCUCUGGCUGGGCAUCGAGCUUGCUCUUGUCCGUCAAGCUCUCAAACCUGAUCUUGUCCAAGGCCUGUCAAAGCCCACAAAAACAUUCAGGGUUGGAUUGAUACAUCAUUCAGUGCUUACAAAGUAAUUAAAUGAAACGUGCACAGCUUUCACUAUUAUUAUUUAUCAGGAGGUUAUUCUGUCAGAAUAGGGUAACAAGGUAUUUACUGCACUAAACACGAGUAACCACUACACACAAUCAAUUUAACCAUGUAGUUGUUGAAGCACCAACUACAAAGCCUUCUACCUUCCCAGCAUAAUCCAUUCUGACAUAGGAAGACCAGAUAAAUUUAUUUUGUCAAGACCAAUCAUGCUUGCAUUUGUACAUUCAAGAUUAGCACUGCAAUAAACACAAUUAACUGCAUCAACACGCAAUCAACUUAACCAUGUAGCUGUUGAAGCACGUACUACAAUAAACCAGCCUAGCAAAGAUUACAUUUAUCAAGAUCAAUCACGCUCUCACGGUUCUCGCUAGGGUUUCAGAUCGUUCAGAUUAGUCAUAAACCUUGCAAGUACAGAUGCCACAGACACAGCCGAGAUCUGACAAAAUUACUAUUUACGACUUCAGAAGUACAGGUUGAUAUGUCGUGGAUUUAAGCUGAAUAGUCAACCACGAACUAGCACAAAACCCUAUAUAACCCCCUAUCACCAGAUCCGAAGUACGAUGCGGAACCCACCGAUCCAUUGAACGACACGAGGGCUUAGCGCACAGAUCUAGAGCCGCAAACAGAAGAGCACGAGCGGGUAGGGGGGAAACUUACAUCGGAGGAGUUGGAGAUGAGCUCCCGGAGGAAGAUCUCCUUGUUGGAGUAGAAGGUGUUGAUGAUGAGGGAGAGCAGCUGGUUGAUCUCCGCCUGGAAGGCGAACGUCUCCGUCUCCGAGGCCAUGGCGAGACCUUGCUUCCGAACGCGAGGAGAGGGCGGCGGCGCUUGGGAGGAGGCGACGAGGGUUUGGGGGAAACCGAGGGAGCCUGAGAUGAGAUGGGGAGGCGGCCAGGCGGGUGCCCUGUGGGGUGAUAUAUUGGGGGCGGGUUGACUGACUUCCCGUUGGGCCGAAGUCUUCUAGGCCCAGCCGUGCUGGGGCUGGAGGCCCCGUGGCCCACGAGUCAGUGGGCGUUGUGUCUUUCUUUUUUCAGACUUGGAAGGUUCUAGAGCGAGGUGGGUUUAGAGCAUGAUUUACCUUACGAUUAACGGGCAGUUGGCAGGUCCAUCUACGAGCUCGUGUAUUGCUUGAUUUACGAAAGGUUUUUUGUUUUGAAAAAAAUAAUGAAGAGUCCAGUAUAAGAUUUGCACGAACUUUUUCUCGUGUUUUGAGUUGCGUUUGGGAGCUUUGAUAAUACGUCUGUCGACUGUCGUGAUCGCAAUAAUUUCCAAAUUCUGUGAAAUUUCUGCUCCGUUUAAGAACGGGAGAUAGUAGACACUGUCUCUAUUUAAUGCAACUUGCAGGGAAGCUUCUGGAAGGAAAUAUAAGUGUACUUUACCAAAAGAUUACCAUCUAAUUGUCUUUCCAUUUUAGGAGUUCGUAACAACCACACUGAUAAUGAAUAUACAGAACGGCGAGUGAUGUGUCAAACAAACACAUUUCAGAUUACGUGAACCCUCCUACACACCGCUAUAAACCAAUUUUGACGUGAAUUCUUUUUAGCCCUAUGCAGUUUGUAUCCUCAGAAAAAAAAGCAAAAGAAAAAAAAAUAUAAUCAUAUAGUAGACUUAUUUUGCAAUAGCUUAUAAUUCAAUGUACUUAUAGCUGAAUGCUAAGUUGCAGACAUAAAAGGAGAAAGCGAAAAAACAAUCCUUUCCUUCGCAGCGCGAGCCUAUUCCCUGAACCGGGGGACCAGGUGGAACAGCCAACGCCCAACAUGAACGGAGCUGGGUACACGAUCCCAGGCUUGAUAGCUUUUAUUAGUAAUUUGAAUUUGGGAUGCAAAUUUUGGUUCCAUGCGCGCAAUUGGUAAAUGGUAACAUCUGGACUUGUUGCGCGCACUCCAUCUAUCGUUUACAUGUGGGUUUAAUCAAAUCUAGUGUGUAAUGGAAAAAAUAAGGUGCUCUAGCUUUAGUUUCCUCACUAUUUUGCUAGCCGGUGUACUGGCGCGGCCUAAGGUAGUAAAAUAGUAUGAAACUGCUAAUUAUUUUCUUUGAACUAAAAAUUCUAGCGGAUUAUACACGGUUCUCCAAAUCUUACUCCCCAGGUACAUGUGGUGCUGCAUCUGCUUUAGAUUUGGAGGUGCAGGCCCGCAGUCCAUCACUGAAGUAAUGAAGCUACCAAUAAAUUGUGGAUGUAUUUUGAUAGGCAAAAAGUCUUCCGAAGUAUAUAUUGGCUCCUAGUUUCUCUUGCAACAUUUUGGCAAUCGCUACUAAGUAGUUAAUCUCAUCAUCAAGACAAUCUAUUGAUGUUACUUUAUUACUGCACUAAACGUGAUUUGACUGAGGUUAGUAACUUUUCAUGGAUUAAAAUAUGCCUUGCAUUCAUAAAUAGAGGGAGUAUCAUCUGAACCACAACUCCUAUUGUCUCCAGUUUGUUGGCCAUCACAUUCGAGUAAUAAAACUAUGUGUGUUAUUAGAAAAUAGUUCUGGUAACACUGAUGAAAAUUGCUGCAUCCUUGCAUAUUACUUUGAAAAUGCUAGUCAUACAUUGUAGAACCCAUAAUUCAUCUAUAAAGUAAAUGUUACGUCAGAUAUUAUACUCUAUCCAGCCCAAAUUAGUAUUAGCUGUUUUGAUUUUUCUAAAUUUAUAAAUUUUAUUAUGCACAACCGAAAUGAUUAAUAAUUUAGGAUAGAGGAGCCCUAUGUUCAUAUAUAAAGUACUUCAUUAAAAUGGCUAAGUUUAUUGCAUCAUGGUGCUACCACACUCUAAUUUUAUAUGUUAAGUACUACUACCCACUUUUUUAAUGGUUUGUAUUACCUUUUUUAUAUGAAAUACUCCCCAUUAACAUGGCUAAUGCACAUCAUUGCUGGAUUUACACGAUCAUAUGCACACUGAUCAGCCACCAAAUCUUUUUUUGGUGUAACAUAUCCACAUACAAUCACAAGUGCAGACCACUGCCUAGUGGUAAUCAACGCAGAGGCUGGGGCCAAAUUUUAUUAACCUCUCGGCUUGAAAAGCCACAGCUGAAUCCGCAAAACUCGCAAAUGCCCAGUUAAUUCGGAUCAACUACUAAAAAAAUGCACUGCAAGUGAAAGUAAAGUGGAUAAAUUGAGCUUAAGAAAAGAAAGUGAUACAAAAAUAGGGAUGAAAUUUGCAACAGAAAAUCUCUAACUCAUUUACCACCUACCAGAGCACGUUUGAAAUUGUUUUCAUAUAAAUAAUAUCAUCUCCAAUAACCAUAUUAAAUGAGUUUUUCAAUUUCUUAUUAGUUGCCACUGAUUAGUUUAAUACUAGUGAAACCGGCAAAAUUUCGGUUAAUCCUUUAUGUAUAUUAUCGUUACCGACCGUUUCCUAAAAGAACAGAUUGCAAAGCGAGAAAAAACAGUAAUUCGAAGACAGCAGGUUAAUAAUAACACUAUUAUACCACCGAUACUUAACCUACGCAGUUCGAUAAUCCACGGCACCAUAGCAUCUAGCCCCACGCAUUGCAGGCUAGGAAAAGUACCACACAAAACACACCGACAACUCAACUUUCAGGGAUAACCAGAACAGCUAAGCUAACUCAGACUCAAAAGUUGCACCCGGGCGCGCUUAGUCGACCUCCUCCAUCUUGCUCUCACCAGCGUCGUCCUCCAGAGGGGGCAUGUCGGUGUCAGCCUCCGGGGUCUCGUCCUCGUCGAUGCUCAGGCCCAGCUUGAGCAUGCGGUGAAUGCGGCUGCCGAAGGUGUUGGGGUCGUCAAGGCUGAAGCCAGAGGUGAGGAGCGCAGUCUCGAACAGCAGCAUGACAAGGUCCUUCACAGACUUGUCGUUCUUGUCAGCCUCAGCACGCUUGCGGAGCUCCUCCAUGAUGGCAUUCUCAGGGUUGAUCUCCAUGGUCUUCUUGGAGGACAUGUAUCCGGACAUGCUGGAGUCCCUCAGGGCCUGGGCCUUCAUGAUCCUCUCCAUGUUGGCAGUCCAGCCAUAUUCACCAGUGACCAGGCAGCAGGGGGAGUCCACCACACGGUCAGAGACCACCACCUUCUCAACCUUGUCACCCAGCACCUCCUUAAUCACCUUGCAGAGGCCCUCAAACUUCUCCUUGAGCUCCUCCUGCCUCUUCUUCUCGUCCUCAGUCUCAUCAAGCUUCAGGCCCUCCUUAGUGGCAGAGACGAGUUUCUUGCCCUCAAAUUCCUUCAGCUGGCCAAUGGCAUACUCAUCAAUUGCAUCCACCAUGUACAGGACUUCAUAGCCCUUCUUCUUCAGCUUCUCAAGGAAGGGGGAGUUCUCCACAGCCUUCUUGCUCUCACCAGUGAUGUAGUAGAUGUCGCUCUGGCCCUCCUUCAUCCUCGUCACAUAGUCCUUGAGGCUAGUCAGCUCAUCACCGCUCUUGGUGGAGUGGUACCUCAGGAGCUCAGCGAUCUUGGUCCUGUUCUGGGAGUCCUCGUGGAUGCCAAGCUUGAGGUUCUUGCAGAAGGCCUCAUAGAACUUGUUGUAGUCCUCCUUGUUCUCAGCAAUCUCGAAGAAGAGCUCAAUGCACUUCUUCACCAGGUUCUUGCGGAUAACCUUGAGGAUCUUGUUCUGCUGGAGGGUCUCACGGGAGAUGUUGAGGGGAAGGUCCUCAGAGUCAACGAUGCCCUUGACAAAGCUCAGCCACUCUGGGAUCAGCUCCUCACAGUUGUCCAUGAUGAAGACACGGCGCACAUAGAGCUUGAUGUUGUUCUGCUUCUUCCUGGUGUCGAAGAGGUCGAAGGGGGCCCUCUUGGGUACAAAGAGGACAGCCUUGAACUCAAGCUGACCCUCAACAGAGAAGUGCUUCACGGCAAG
rnacentral:lncRNA from 1 species